rnacentral:rRNA from 1 species
GACGAACGCUGGCGGCGUGCCUAAUACAUGCAAGUCGACCUUAGUGGCUAACGGGUGAGUAACACGUGGGUAACCUGCCCAUCAGAGGGGGAUAACACUAUGAAACAUGUGCUAUUACCGUAUACUGAUGGAUGGACCGGUGGUGCAUUAGCUAGUUGGUGAGGUAACGGCUCACCAAGGCCACGAUGCAUAGCCGACCUGAGAGGGUGAUCAGGCACACUGGAACUGAGACACGGUCCAGACUCCUACGGGAGGCAGCAGUGGGGAAUAUUGGACAAUGGGCGAAAGCCUGAUCCAGCCAUGCCGCGUGUGUGAAGAAGGUCUUCGGAUUGUAAAGCACUUUAAGUUGGGAGGCGUUACCAACAGAAUAAGCACCGGCUAACUUCGUGCCAGCAGCCGCGGUAAUUC